UUUGGGUUCUUUUUCUAUUCACUCAUGUCAGAUAGAGACAUGCAUGUUGUAAAUUAUUUUGUCAGAAUGAAAGCCUGGCAGAUUAAAUGCUUUCUUCUCUUCUUGCUUUACUUGAUAUCAAUCUCUUGUUCAUUUCUUGAUAAUAUGUUUGGUUAUUUUUGUUUUCAUUGCUUUUAGUGUCAGAGAUGGCUUUGGAUUCCCCGUUCUGUGUGCUGCUGUCUGGCUCCUGAACCCAGCUGUAGAGGUGUGUGUCAAUCCCAACUGGUGAAGUACUGAGAAGAAGCUACACAAAAGGCAGCAAAGUAUUAGUGAGUAGUGUCAUUGAGCAAACACAAAGUCGGGCUCAUCCAAGGAUGAGAUUUUGCCAGAGAAAGGACGAGCAGCAAGUCAGGGAGCUUAAGGUUCUAGAAAGGAAAUCCCUCACAGCAACUGGCACCAUAAUCAAGACAGAAUUUUUGCAGAAUAAAUGGAGUUACCUGCUUUCAGCCCCAGGUCGUAGCUAUUGUCUGCCCUGCUGAUAUGUGAUAAUAAUUUGUGAUCCU
rnacentral:lncRNA from 10 species